rnacentral:rRNA from 1 species
CACUAGCUCGCUCGCCGCUUUCCCAAUCCUCCCCGUCGCUGCUCUCCCAAUCCCUCUUCCCUCUGUCGCCGGCCUCUCCCUCUCCUCGUCGCCGCCCCCUUCCUCUCCUCGACGCCGGCCUCUCCCUCUCCCCGUCGCCGGCUUGUUCCAUCACCCCUUUCUCCCCACCACCCAGCCUCCACUCAUACCCCGAAGGGCAACAAAAAAGUGAAUCUUUUUGUGCCGGCGACAAGCUUCUAGGCGACGGACGUGUGGAUGUGUAGCGGCGCCAGAGCAGGAUUUGGGCAACGGAGGCGUGGACGUGGAGCCGCGGCCGAGCGGCGGAUCUGGAGAGGCGCCGGAGCAGCGGAGCGGCAGGCCUGGAGCGGGGCCAGAGCAGCGGUGGGAGAUGGAGUUCCCUCUCGACCCAGUCGACAGGUACGGAUGCGGUGGAGGACCAGCUAGCUGGCGGCGGCGAUGGGAUGAGCAGCUGGAGCAGUUGUUCGCGGGAUGAGCAGCUGGAGCCGGUGGCGGGGCAAGCAGCUGGAGUAGGAGGGCGACGCCGAGCUCAACGGCGACUCCUACGACAACUGCAGCAGGAGAGCGCCUACAACCGUUGUGGCAGGAGUACCUCGGUGAGCCCGUCACUCAGUCUGCAACUCUGAUUCAGUAGAGUAGUUCUUGCAAUAGUCGGAUUCAGAAACAAAUCAAAAUCGUGAGCGAGGUGGGACUAAUCAGGCAACAAGUCCUUCCUUGUUUCCCCAAAAUCCGUUGGCAUGGAGUACUUGUUUGAUUUAGCCAGGGCGUCUAUUUUGUUUCUGUUACAUUGCGACUGUGGUAUGUUUACUU